UGUAAACCUCUUUCAGUAGGGAAGAAGCGAAAGUGACGGUACCUGCAGAAGAAGCGCCGGCUAACUACGUGCCAGCAGCCGCAGGUAAUACGUAGGGCGCAAGCGUUAUCCGGGAAUUAUUGGGCGUAAAGAGCUCGUAGGCGGUUUGUCGCGUCUGCCGUGAAAGUCCGGGGCUCAACUCCGGAUCUGCGGUGGGUACGGGCAGACUAGAGUGAUGUAGGGGAGACUGGAAUUCCUGGUGUAGCGGUGAAAUGCGCAGAUAUCAGGAGGAACACCGAUGGCGAAGGCAGGUCUCUGGGCAUUAACUGACGCUGAGGAGCGAAAGCAUGGGGAGCGAACAGGAUUAGAUACCCUGGUAGUCCAUGCCGUAAACGUUGGGCACUAGGUGUGGGGGACAUUCCACGUUUUCCGCGCCGUAGCUAACGCAUUAAGUGCCCCGCCUGGGGAGUACGGCCGCAAGGCUAAAACUCAAAGGAAUUGACGGGGGCCCGCACAAGCGGCGGAGCAUGCGGAUUAAUUCGAUGCAACGCGAAGAACCUUACCAAGGCUUGACAUGAACCGGAAACGUCUGGAAACAGGCGCCCCACUUGUGGUCGGUUUACAGGUGGUGCAUGGUUGUCGUCAGCUCGUGUCGUGAGAUGUUGGGUUAAGUCCCGCAACGAGCGCAACCCUCGUUCCAUGUUGCCAGCGCGUAAUGGCGGGGACUCAUGGGAGACUGCCGGGGUCAACUCGGAGGAAGGUGGGGACGACGUCAAAUCAUCAUGCCCCUUAUGUCUUGGGCUUCACGCAUGCUACAAUGGCCGGUACAAAGGGUUGCGAUACUGUGAGGUGGAGCUAAUCCCAAAAAGCCGGUCUCAGUUCGGAUUGGGGUCUGCAACUCGACCCCAUGAAGUCGGAGUCGCUAGUAAUCGCAGAUCAGCAACGCUGCGGUGAAUACGUUCCCGGGCCUUGUACACACCGCCCGUCAAGUCACGAAAGUUGGUAACACCCG
rnacentral:rRNA from 1 species